GUGGGGACAGAGUGGGUGGCGGAAAGGCAGACGUAGGGCAGGAGAGAGAUGCCGGAAGAAGUGCCACACUGUGGGGGGCACACUGGGGCCCCUACCCCCCAGGGGCACUCCGGCUUUAGGCAAGGGCACGUGCCCGAGCUCUCCCGGUGCUGACACCAGGCCUGGCGCUCCGCUGGUUCUUGCCAGAGGCGGUGUGUCUCUCUUUCCUCCUUCCUUUUUUUCUGAGACACAGUGAUCUUGGCUGUGGUGCCACAUUCACUCUAUGGGAAAAACUUGUUUUUGUCGGUAAACUCUGGCGCUAUGACUCAGAAGACACCCAGGGAGCAGCCUCCUGGUGUCAAGGGGCUGCUCUGCUAAUGAGCUCAUGUUUAUAAAAGUGCUUUGAAGACGAAAAAUUCCACAACAAGAUCAAGUACUGAAGUAGCCCCUUCCCCAGUGCUUGGCACAGUCAGCAAGUAGCUCCUGUCAUUCAUUCACUUGACCAACACAUCCGCCUGUGCCAGGCAUGGGCCACAAAACUGGAACCAAAGAAGAUGGGUUCUGCCCUCUUGGAUGUUACAUCCUGGAUGGGAUAUGGCAUCUAACAGAAGGAGCUGUCACCUUCUUACAAACGAGGAGACGGCUCUAAGGAAGGUGUGGAGUUCCCAAGUGAAGCGGGAGAGAGAGCACAUGGGGCAGAGACAGCAGCAUUAAUUACUUAAUGAAUCCAACAAACCUUUAGUGAAUGCCUACUAUGUGUCCGGCACCUGGGAUGCAGGCUCUGGUGCUGUGGCCAAGAGACUCCCAGGGAUGGGGACGUGCUCCCAGGCUCUGGUUACAUCUAAGAGAAAAGCAGGAAGCCCCGGCCUCAGCUGACAGCACCUGGGCUUUGCCUCCUCGGUAACCUUGGCAGAUUGUUCUUGGCCUACUCAUCCCUUCCGCUCAGCACUCCCUGCCGGGAGCCCCAGCUUCCUACCUGGUGUGCUGGGCCCUUUGGCUUCUGGGGAGUGUUCUGGACACUUGAGGAAGCUCAGCGGGAAUGAAGGCCCCGUGCCCCAUCAGAGGUGCUGGGUGUCCGCGCCCCGGGCAAGAAUGGCACCCUCUCCGUGUGGCCCCGCUCCCUAGAUCAGAGGCCCGGCUGGCUGUGGUUUGCCUUUGAUUAAUAAAGAAUGGGGAAGCAAAUCGAUUACCUCUUCACACGCGCAGGGAAGACUCUCUCCAGGCUUGGCGGACUCUUCUUCAUGAAGAGGUUGGAACACGCAGAAAGACUUGGCCGGAGGACCCCCCCUUCCCACCCUGCUGCCCCAGUCCCGGUGGGAAUUGUACAUCUGUGUUGGAACCCGAGAAGGGACUGAGUAUCUCAGUUAAAAGCUUCGGGUAUGUGGGACCACGAAGGAUGGGGAGGGACAGGGGUGGCACCUGUCCCUCAGAGGUCCUCUCACCAGUGGGAUGCUUGGGCUUCUGAGGAAUGAGAAUUAUCCGCACCUGAAUCCCCACCCCUUUGGCGGGAUUUCUGAGCUGAUAUUCUGGAAACCAGAUGGUGUUCCCAGAUGCCUGCAGGUCUGGCUGUCUCGGAACCUCCAGGAGGGCGGUUAAUGCAGAUUCCAGGGCUGCAGCAGGUCUGAGGAGGGGCCCGGGGAAUAUGGGAUUUUCAGCAGCUUCCAGGGCAGAGGCGCCAGGACCGAGUUCGAGGGCCAUUGGUCUAGAGUGGAAGGAAGCAGCAGGGUGUCGGGGACACCGCUCUGCGAGCACCCAGACCCGGGGGCCAGUCCCAGCUCACAUGGUGAGAACCAUGUGACACUGGGCGGGUGACACCCCUUCUCUGAUCCCAGGGUCCCUGCCUGUAAGAUACUGAGGAUGCUAGCUGUGUCGUAGAGUGGUACAGGGCCUGCCCAGUGCCCAGUCCGGGGCAGUUCUUGUUGUCACUGUCCUGUCCUUGUCCUUGGGAGGGAGGAGGGGAGAACUGCUUUGGAACACUUGUGUGGUCUCUGACUCCAGUUAUCACUGCCCCCUCACCCUGAAACCCUCCACCGGAAUCAGGACCAAGUCAGGCCUCCUCUCUCUGAGUCUGGGUUGCUGCCCUGUGGGGGUGGUGGGGGCCAAGGACCCCUGGGGGAGGAGGGUUGGGAGGCAAGUCACCCCCCGCCCCCUGGCCAAGGGGCCAGCCUCCUCCGCGGACACCUUCCGUGGGCCAUCUGCUCUGGCUGACGUGGUGAGGCUCCCAGUGAUGUGUUUACGUGUGGGUUUCCUCUUGGGGCUCAGUUCUCUGAAGAGGGCCCCUUGUCUACCCUUCACUUUCCCCCAGAGCAGCCUGCAGAUUCACCCCAGGAGGUGACACUGGGAACGUUGAGGUGGGGGGGGGGGCGGCGGCUGUUGUUUUUACCUGCGCAGCACCCAGCCCUCCCCCUCAGUUCCCUAGGUCAUGUGGUUCCCCAUCCUCUGUUGGGGACAAGCAUGUGAUCCUGGCCUGGCCAUCCUUCUGGCCACAGGGCUUGGUGGGCGCCAUCAUGUGAAGGUGAGACUGUCUUUCUGCUGGCAGUCUGGGCUGGUAGGGUUUAUUGCUGGGGUCAACCACAUGGACACCUGUGCGAAGAUGAAGCCAGCACGGUAGAGGGAAGGACAGAGAGGGAGAGAAAAAGAGAUGAUAGUAUUUGAGCACCUGGAUCCAGCCUUGCCUGAGCCCGCUAUCUGCUUUGGCUUACGCAAGUUUGAGUCGGGUUUCUAUACUUGUUUCACCCACUUAUCUGUCCACCUUCUACUCUUCCAUCCCACAUUUGUUCAACUCUUGCUUCAUACCAGCCUCUAUGCUAGGACCUCAGCCCUCUUGGCUGGAAGGGGGAGGUGACAAGGUGACACAAGCUUUUCAUGGCUAGGGAAGCUAGGAGCUGCCUCAGAGGUGAGUGCUGGGGGCUGUGGAUGUGAGAAUUUCCAUGUUGUGGGGAGGGGGGAAUCCUGGCAGGCUUUCUGGAGGAGGUGACUUUUGUGCAGGGCUCUGAGGCAAGGCAGGAUUUCACCGGUUAGAGAAUUGAGCAGAAGGAGUCAGAAAAAGGCAGGUCAGAGAAGACCAGGAUCAGUUGAACCCUGCUGCCCCGUGGUGGAGGGGUUGGGAUUUUAGGGACUGUUGGGCUGUAUGUAAUAGUAAUACUCACUGGUAAUCAGUCACCAACAUUUGUCCAGCAAGCGCUGUGCUAGAACUUGGUGCUUAUUUCUCAUUGGUUCUCUUCACCUCCCUGAAGGGGGAGAAUGUACAUAUGCCCAUUGAUAGGUGAGGAAACUGAGGCCCAGUGGUGGCAACCUUCUUGAGGCUUCAUGAACACCAAGGGGCCAGCAUGGCUCUCUGACUUCCAUCCCAAGUUCUUAACUGCUCAGGCCCACGUGAGUCCUUCUGGGGCUCUGUGUCUUUAGCUGCGUCCUUGGGAGGAGGUUGGGGUGGAGGCCAAAGACAAAGCCCUGGAGAGUUCUGGAGUUUCCAGGCUGUGUGUGGGAUGGGGGCUUGCCCUGCAGGUCGUUCCCAGGACUGGGAUGGAGACACUGGGUGAUUGCUGUGGGACCCUCAACCCCUGUGCCCUCCCCCAGCCUGCCCUCUCCCAUCUUCACCCUGGCAGCCAGAGCGAUGGAACCUUUGAGGGCAUUAUCUGCUCAGGUAUCCCUUGCCAAACAGUCUUCAAUGGCUCCCUAUUGCCCCAGACUCUCUUCCUUUGCUAACAGGCUUUUCAUUCUCUGGCCCUGCCCCCUCCCCCAGCCUCUUUUCUGAGGCUCAGACUCACACUGAACAGUGGCCACCCUCCCCUCUGAGUCCCUGGAGGCCUGGCACCCUUCCAGCCUCUGUGAGUCAGUCCAGGUACCCUGUUUCGGUGGAGACUGGGGCCCUUUCUGGGCCUGCCGCUCACUCUUCAUGGCACUUACUGCUGAACUACCAGCGGGUGUGUCUGAGUCUCCAGCUUGACUGGAUUCCCCCUGAGACCAGAAGCUCAGGUCUUGGCACACGGGGGCUCACGAUCGGUGCAGGAAAUGCAUGGGUCCAAGCUUUCUUGGCUUCUAAAGAGAAGCCCUCACCACUCCAAGAAUCACCUCAUUUCCAGGGCACUGAGUAGAAAAAUGAGGAGAGAGAGACACCCCCACUCACCCCAGAAGUUUGCCUGCAGGCUUAGCUUCCGUUAAAGCAGACUGGACCCCUGAGCCUCGCUGUGCUGUGCUGACAGCUGAGGCUUCCCCUGAGAUUCCAGAGUUCCAAGGUGGGCUGUGGAGAGGGAGGGGUGGAGGGGCGGAGAGGGUCCCUUCCUGGAUGGCUGUGGGGUGAUGACUUCAAUAGGCUGGGCGGAAUGGUCCUGCCCCUGCCCUUCGCUUGGCCGGUGAAUGUGAUACCCCCUGGUGAGCACGGUCCCCUUUUGGCCCACCACCACUCAGCCAGAGCCCCCCUGCCUCGAAGGCCCUGAGGCUGGCUGGACCCUGUGGGACAGGGACUCCGUGGGACAGAUGGCUCUAGUAGUGCCCAGUGCAUCCACCUUGCUCGCUUCAAUGUCCGCGCUGUCUUAGCAGGUGCUUGAUACAUUUUAUUUUGAGUGUGGCAGGAAUGAUGGUUCCCGAGUUCCCACUUCUGGAAAGGGGGCCGCCCCUAGGAUCUUCUCAGAGAGACUUAGAAAAAACAGACACCUGUACUGCCAUGUUCAUAGCAGCAUGAGUCACGGAGUUAUAAUGUGGAAAGAGUCCAUGUGUCCACCGACAGAUGGACGGACGGACGGACAAUUGGACAUGAUGUGGUUGGCCUAUCGGAACAACAGAAUAUUAGUUGGCCUUCAAAAGGGAGGUGAUGUUGCCUCCUGCUGCCUCCUCGGGCAAAGCCCAGAGGACAUGGUCUAAGCCAGGGAGGCCAGUCACAAAAGAACAAGUCCUGUGUGAUCCCACUGGUGUGGGGGACCUGGGGUCAUCCGGGGUAGAGGGUGGGACCAGGGGUCAACGGGGACAGGAUCUCAGUUUCGCAGGAAGGAAAGAGGUCUGGAGAUGGACGGCGUGAAUGUACUUUGUGCUGCU